GCCUCUAUAGCUCAGUGGUAGAGCGUUGCACUUGUAAUGCAAAGGUCGGUUGUUCAAUCCAGCCUGGAGGCA
rnacentral:tRNA from 1 species